CAGAGUUCUUGCCCUUACGGGUAGAUCUCCCACCCUAUGUUAUUAUUACCUUUGUUGCUUUGGCGGGCCGUUCGGCUCUGUCGACCACCGGCUUCGGCUGGUGUGCGCCCGCCAGAGGACCCCAAACUCUGAAUAUUAGUGUCGUCUGAGUACUAUAUAAUAGUUA
rnacentral:misc_RNA from 1 species